rnacentral:rRNA from 1 species
CUACGGGACGCUCCAGUGAGGAAUAUUGCACAAUGGGGGGAACCCUGAUGCAGCAACGCCGCGUGGAGGAUGACGCAUUUCGGUGUGUAAACUCCUUUUAUAUGUCAAGAAAAUGACGGUAGCAUAUGAAUAAGCACCGGCUAACUCCGUGCCAGCAGCCGCGGUAAUACGGAGGGUGCAAGCGUUACUCGGAAUCACUGGGCGUAAAGGACGCGUAGGCGGGUUGGAAAGUCAGGUGUGAAAUCCUACAGCUUAACUGUAGAACUGCACUUGAAACUUAUAAUCUAGAGUAUGGGAGGGGGAGAUGGAAUUCGUGGUGUAGGGGUAAAAUCCGUAGAUAUCACUAGGAAUACCUAAAGCGAAGGCGAUCUCCUGGAACAUUACUGACGCUAAGGCGUGAAAGCGUGGGGAGCAAACAGGAUUAGAUACCCUAGUAGUC